rnacentral:rRNA from 1 species
GACGAACGCUGGCGGCGUGCUUAACACAUGCAAGUCGAACGGAAAGGCCCUGCUUUUGUGGGGUGCUCGAGUGGCGAACGGGUGAGUAACACGUGAGUAACCUGCCCUGGACUUUGGGAUAAGUCCAGGAAACUGGGGCUAAUACCGGAUAGGAGCUCCGGCUGCAUGGUGGGGGUGGGAAAGUUUUGGGGGUUGGGGGUGGACUCGCGGCUUAUGAGCUUGUGGGUGGGGUAGUGGCUUACAAAGGCUUUGGCGGGUAGCCGGCCUGAGAGGGUGACCGGCCACUUUGGGUCUGAGAUACCGCCCAGACUCCUCCGGGAGACCGCAGUGGGGAAUUUUGCACAAUGGGCGGACGCCUGAUACAGCACCGCCGCGUGCGGGAUGACGGCCUUCGGUUUGUAACCCGCUUUCGCCUGUGGCGGAGCGUGUGUGACGGUAAUGGGAGAAGAAGCACCGGCUAACUACGUG